rnacentral:lncRNA from 1 species
AGGCAGAAGCAAGGGAAGCGAGACGAGGAGGUGUCUAGUAGACAGGGCACUGGCCUUACACUCAGGAGACUGGCUUUGCUUCUGAAAUUGUCUGUGACUUUGGAUAAGGAACUGAUUGCUGCUUCACAUCAUCAAAGCCAGAAGUAGAGGGGAUAUAAGUGUGUAGCAGGAGACUCUGGAAAACCACAGAAGAACCUGAGUCCAGGAUAGGAAGAGACAGGACUGGAUAUAGAGGACUAGCAAGAAGUCAUGCUUGCUAGGCUUCUAACAGCAGGAAGAUAUAGAAGGAGAGUUGGAUAUUGGGAAACCUGUGAUGAGGAGAGUUCAGCAUGUUUUGGAAGGAGAAGUUUGGAUUUAUUAUGCAGCAGGAGUAUUGCCUUCUCAAUGUCACUUUCCCAUCUGUCUUGCUCAGCAGUGUUACAAUCUUAG